rnacentral:sRNA from 1 species
GGCCGAUGAGGCUUUUAUUAGAGCUUCCGUUUUGGAAGUAAUAGCCACAGUGGGGGUUGGGCGAUAUUACAUACAGUACCUCCGCAAACCCAUUAGUACACAAUAAUAUUCUGUACACGACAUACCAUUCUUACAAUCAGCGUACAGGACAGUGGAAAGCUGCUGGCAUUCCCAGCUGUGUUGAACUUAUCGUGGGUCAAUGAUUCAUCAUCACAUGUGCUCCGUCUCUACCUGUACAGUGUAGGAAUGGCAUUUGGAGGGCAACUCACUUCCUUAUUCCCCAUUCAAAUAUCAACUUUAUUCUAGCAGAUGAAAUCCAAAGCCAA